ACCCCCAAGUGCCCUGCCUUUGGCUGCCGCCCACACUCUUAAAACGAAUGUGUUGGAAAUCAACACAUGUUUUGUGCAAUGAUGAUUUCAACAAAUGUUGUGUUAAGUCACAGGAUUUUCCUGAGGGGAAAGUUACACAGACAUUCUACACAACAUUGUGUCAUGAGCUCAGACCAAUCAGCUGGGUUGCCUUAGAGUUUGAAAAAAAAAAAAAAAAACGUGCCGCCUUUUCAUGGAUCUCCGUGGCCAUUACUGUGACUGUAUCCGUCCAAAUUUGUUAAUGAAGGUUUGUUUCCACAAGUUAGCUAACAUUACUAAGAAGAAUGGCUUCUCCCAGAUCUCUCACAACAGUGCUCCUGGAUGGCAGAUACAUUUUGAAGAAGACUUACACUCUUGGUAAUGUCAAGGAUAUUACAGAGGCGUGUACAUCUGCACUGUUGUGCUAAGCAGAAAUGACCAGAAUUCUGAAGUUGUGCUCAGAUUUUAAUAAAUACAUUGACACUGAUGUGAACUGCAAUGUUGAAAACAUGGAUACAUUCCAAAUUCUAUUCAAGUCCAUUCAAUCAGAUGUUUGUGAUGUCAGUGCCAUUGCUGUCACCACACAGCAAAUGGAAGAACAGCAGGUAUGUUUGUUCAUUUGCUCAUGUCUGUUAAUUUAUGGAAGGUCACUAAACAUAAUAUUCUGUUUAGUGAGCCUAUUUGCCUUUUUUAUGUAUAGUAUUGUUAUCCCAGUGCUUAGAUUAAGUGGUAAUAUCUCUACAGCAGUAUACUAGUUAAAAUAAAAUACUGUAUAUAUGGACUGUUCCUUCAGUUUUCAACAGCAGCCAGUGAUCUUGAUCUUGAGAGUGUGAAAACUCACCUCCAACAAAAAAGAUCCCAGGAUUUUUGCAUUCUAUGAGGACAAUGGGACCCUUACAGAAAUAUUAAGAAGGGUACUGGUAACAACUGCCGUCAGUUUCCUUGUUGGAAAAAUAGGAUUGGAAGUAGACAUUUGUCACUUUUAUUUUGAACUACAGAAGGUCUAAUGUUAUGCCCAAUGCUAAUGUGUCCUUUUUCUUGUUCAGUAUGUUUUUCCUCAGUUAUCCAGUAAGUGCAAACAAAAAACUUCUCGCCAGAACCAUUGUGACACUUUACCCAUCACUUAACAUCUAAAUGAAGGACAAAAAUGAAGGUUAUGUAAGGGAAUGUUGUUAAGAGUGAGAAACACACAUUAUGUCGAUUGAUUCUGACAGUAGCUCAUUAGAUCACUGUUUUAUUUGCGUUGUACUUGUACUCUGUGUUGUAAAGGAACACUUCUAUGAUCCAACAUGCCACACUGUCUUUCUGGAAGAUAACCUGAGGAAUAUCCGCCAAAAACUAAGGAAUGAUCGGCGCUGUUAUUGCAAAAGGGGUGGCUCAUCUGAAGUCACUGUUCGACUUGAAGAAAUUACAGAAAGUGAUGAGUCUGUCCAAGAAUGGAUAACUGUCGAUCAAGAUGGGUAUGGACAAAACCGACUUCCACCGAAGAUACUGGAUAUCUAAUCAGUCACCUACUCUGGCAGAGAUUGUUGAGAACUACACUCGUUUCAUUGAUAUGCCAUAUCUGAUCGACAGAGAGUUUGAGAAGAUGUUUCCAAACAAGACAGACAUCUUUCUACGCAAAUGGGACCCAACUAUGGUCCCAAAGUUGUUGAAGCUGGCUGCUCUUGAAGGAAAAGAUGAACCACCAGAAGCUGAGAGUGCUGCCAGGAACAAGCUUCCAUGACCUCCUACAAACCACUGACCCUGCUCCAGUGAUGCAACCUCGUCUGGUGAGCAUUGGACAUCCCAGCACAACAUCAACACAAUAUGUCAUCGUGGCUGCCAAUGACUACGUAGUCAUUCCACUCCAGGAAGAGGGCCUCACCUGCAGUCUGGAAACACUCUUCAAGUUGUAUUGGAUUUGUAACCUUGCCUGUUUGGUAAAGUAUGUGUUGUUGAUUGAAAAAAUGGCAGCCUGUGGACAUGAUUUAAACAUUUUGAGUAUGAUAAGUGUGGCCAGUUGUGUGUCUAUAUUUGGUCAUUGCAACAGACCUGGUUGUGUGGUUUCCUUAAAAUGUGAUCUGGACAUCGAACAUAUCUUUGAAGAGACAGUGUAUAUUGUUCCCUUUUCUGACUGUGAUGAGGUGUUCAUUUUGUUGAGAGUUCUCACUGUUAAGUAUUUUGAUGACCACCUUCACACUAAUGUGAUUAAAAAGACAAAUUAAUUUCCAGUGAUUAAUCUGAAAGAUGCAACUGAUGCUUUACCACUUGAUGUAUAUGAGCUGAGAGAUUCUGAAUUUCACUUACUGACAAGAUACAGACUUAUUUCCUAAAUGUUGUGACUUGUG